AUUGAACGCUGGCGGAAUGCUUUACACAUGCAAGUCGAGCGGCAGCACGGGGGCAACCCUGGUGGCGAGCGGCGAACGGGUGAGUAAUACAUCGGAACAUGCCCAGUCGUGGGGGAUAACACUUCGAAAGAAGUGCUAAUACCGCAUACGUCCUGAGGGAGAAAGCGGGGGAUCUUCGGACCUCGCGCGAUUGGAGUGGCCGAUGUCAGAUUAGCUAGUUGGUGGGGUAAAGGCCUACCAAGGCAACGAUCUGUAGCUGGUCUGAGAGGAUGAUCAGCCACACUGGGACUGAGACACGGCCCAGACUCCUACGGGAGGCAGCAGUGGGGAAUUUUGGACAAUGGGGGCAACCCUGAUCCAGCCAUUCCGCGUGAGUGAAGAAGGCCUUCGGGUUGUAAAGCUCUUUCGGCAGGAACGAAACGGCGAGCUCUAACAUAGCUUGCUAAUGACGGUACCUGAAGAAGAAGCACCGGCUAACUACGUGCCAGCCGCCGCUGUAACAC
rnacentral:rRNA from 1 species